UGGGGAAUAUUGCACAAUGGGCGGAAGCCUGAUGCAGCGACGCCGCGUGGGGGAUGACGGCCUUCGGGUUGUAAACUCCUUUCGACAGGGACGAAGCUUUUUGUGACGGUACCUGUAUAAGAAGCACCGGCUAACUACGUGCCAGCAGCCGCGGUAAUACGUAGGGUGCGAGCGUUGUCCGGAAUUACUGGGCGUAAAGAGCUCGUAGGUGGUUUGUCGCGUCGUCUGUGAAAUUCCGGGGCUUAACUCCGGGCGUGCAGGCGAUACGGGCAUAACUUGAGUGCUGUAGGGGAGACUGGAAUUCCUGGUGUAGCGGUGAAAUGCGCAGAUAUCAGGAGGAACACCGAUGGCGAAGGCAGGUCUCUGGGCAGUAACUGACGCGGAGGAGCGAAAGCAUGGGUAGCGAACAGG
rnacentral:rRNA from 1 species